GCAAAACCUCAUUAGAUUAAUUGGCCUUGCCAGCUCCUGAACAAGCAAGGCCUUUAGUCAUGCUGGGGCACAGAGGGCAGGGGAAGGAGGGAGCUCUGGGGCUUCCACACUCCCUUGAGCUGCAUGUCCCAGCUCUUGGCUCCAGCUGGAGCCUGGGAGGAGCAACUGGAGCUCCUGGCUGCCUUUGGAUGGGUGCGGCCGUGGCCAGGUGGUCCCUCUGCUUUUUUGGGGUUCAGGACAACACGUAGCCUUGUCCUUUUGGAGUGACAGCCCUUGGAAGACAUCUUCAGAGUCUGGGAGAUGUUGGUGGUGUUAGCAACACCCAGAAGAUGCUGCCGGCUGCCUUGGACGAGUGGGCUGCGUGUCCUUUCCACCACUGACGUCAGCUUCUCUCCCUUAAUUCCCCCUCUGGGACCGCAGCAAGUGCAGGCGCUGCCAGCUCGGAUCAGCGUUAACAGCCUGCUCUCCCAGUGUGUGGCAGCGCUCCGCCGUGCCAAUGUCACCCCCGACUCGCGCUGCUGUCCCUGGCCAAGCAGCCAUGGGUGGUGGGAGAGCACUACCCUCUUCCAGCAUCCUGGGAAAGGCCCAGUGCCAGCAGAGAGUCCCUGUUCCUCGCACGUAGGUGUGUGCUGAGAUGGCAGCUCAGCCCCUCAGAAAUGGCUGACUCCUCUCUCUCGCUCUCUUGCUGCCUGGUGGGUUUUUUUCUCUCCUCCUCCCUGCCUUUGCUGUUGCCUACGCGGUUGUGUGGGGAAGGCAAUCGGCUCCCGUGCUGCGGAUGGCUUUAUCUGUAACUCUUCCAUCUGCUCACAGCAGCUCACAAAUAACCACGGGGUGCCAGAGGAAUUAUGUUAUUUGGAGCUCAAGUUUCUGCAGUCUGGCAGGGCAGCAGCUCUGCGCCGGGCUCAGCCGCUCUGCAAAGGCCAGCGCCAGCAUGGCCAGGGCUUAAGGCAGGAGCUGGGGAUGUGGCCAGGGCCGAAUUACUCUCCCCAUCCAGUUAGACAAAGCGCCAGCCCCGAGCCAGCAUGGAAGCCUGGUCCUCUGGGAGCUUCCUGUGGAGAGCAGAGGGUCCUGCUGGCCCCGGGUCCCUGCACAGCCGUGGGCUCAUGGCAGGAAGCCGCCUCCUGCAUCACGUGUGGCAACAGGGAUAAAAUGAGCAGCUGCUGACCCCCUCUCCCUGCACUUCGCUGUUUCCCACCAAGCACAGCCCUCUCAGACAGACUACCCUCCCUGGGAAGCACCAUCCGAUGCCUGCAGAGCCAUGGCUGUGGUGGUGGCCGAGGAUGGUGCUCGAGGCCGAGCUGUGCUGGGAAAUGCCUCCUG
rnacentral:lncRNA from 13 species